CAGCACCAGCCAGUAGGGGUCACUGUGUGUGGAGAGAGGCAGGGAUAGGAAGUUACAGCAUAUCCCUCCCUACUCACUAACCUGCGGGGGAGCAGCUACACAGCACAGAGAGCUCAGACAGCAGUUCCCAGCCUGCAGAGACAGACUAUAGCUCAGGGAAGUGAGGGAUGAGGGGAAAGGCAGCAGGGAAACAUGGGGACACUGAGACACUAGGGGACACUGGGAGACCUGGGGAUGCUGAAACACAUGGGGAUGCUGUGAGACAUAGGGACAUUGGGAUACACAUUGGGACACGGAGAUGCUAGGGACAGAGUGUCUCCAUGUCUCCCAGUGUCCCCAUGUCUCCCAGCCAGUUUGCCUAGUGUCUCAG
rnacentral:lncRNA from 1 species